UAAUGAAUGGGCCCAAGGGGAAAGGCUUAAUGCAUUGGAGAAGAUUGGGAGGUGCAUUGGAGCAAAAUGCUUUGUUAAGCUAAUGAGCUUGCGCUAGUGGCCCAAUUAAAUUCGAUAAUAAAAAAUAAAUAAAUAAAAAUUCUAAAAAAACAAUGGGGGUGUGCUGGAAUGAUGUUGGUGGCUCGUGAACACUGGGAUUCAGGCUUGGGCCAACAAAAUCAUAUACAAGAAAUGGGGUGUAUUGGAUCAAAGGGGGCUGGAAAAGACUUGGGACGGGUUCGGCCCAAUGGCCCAAACCCUCAACCAAAGUUAGAAAACCCUAGUGCGUUCUUCUCCACCUCCAUAAUACCUAAACUUCUAUCUCUAUGUUUCAAACAUGUGCAUCUCUCACACACACUUACCCCGCGCCGGAGACGGCGAAGCCGAUGGCCCACGGUGGCUGCCACCUCCUCCUCCUUGCGAGCAACCCCCAGAAAAAAAAAUCCAAAGGGGUACCCCUAAUUUUUCCUCCUAGAUCUAAAUCCGGACUCCGCUUUCUUAAAAACUCACGGAAAAAUCCGGAUCGGAGGUCAUAACUCUUUGAACCAAAAAUCUCACAAAAAGCUAAUAUAAACCUUAAUAAUUCCUCCACUUAGCAUGGAUUUACAAACAAAUCAACAAAUAAUCACACAUAACAAACUAAGUCACUUAGCCCCAAAUUAAGCUGUACCCUAUUUUCAUUGAUCUUAUAGCAUACAAGUUACAAAUGGAGUGAAUAAAGCUAAAGGAAAAUGAGGAAAUUAAAGCAACACAAUAAUAAAUUGAGAAUAAUGUAGGUCUACUGACUUUGAGCUCUUCAAGUGAGUUCCGGGUAUAUUCUCUUUUUCUCUCUGUUGCGUUGGUUCCCUUCUCCUCUUUGCGUAUUUCUGUCUCGUGCGUGUGUUCACUGGUUUUUUCUUCUGGAUGCAGGGGCUUAGCUCUAAGACCUUAAAGCUUUAAUGUGAAGCUUAGAGGACUCAAAUUCAGAGAGCUUUAUGUAUAGUUUGGUGAGAAUUUUGCAGAGUUCCACUAGGGCAGCUAUUAUGUGUUUGAGAGUGAAGUAGAGAGGUGUUAUAUAGGUGUGAAAGAUGGAAUUUAUGAGGGAAUUCAGAGUUGGUUAGAGAUAAUUUGCAGAGGAAGUUUCUACAAUCCGUGUGAGAGUUUUAUUAUCAAGGGUGUGGAUUGAUUUCAAAUGAAUUUGAGUUGGUUUUGUUGGAAUGAAAUUGAGAUUGUAGUGAAAAUUAUUGGGUGAUAAACGAGUCAGGUUUUAUGGUCAUGAGUUUCUUAUGUAUGUGUGUUAUGUAUGUGUAUCAUGUAUGGUGUAAUUGAUAACCAAAUUCUCUUUUUGUUUUUUCAUGUGGAAUGAUAUGGUAUGGAGCAUGAUGGAUAGAGGGAUGAUGGUGAGGAGAGGUAACAUGAAUAUCUCGUGUGGGAAGCUGCAAACAAAUGCAGACUUUUUGAUCUUAAUUUUUUGUAUUUUCACAAUUUUUGUAAAGUGUGUAAUAAUGUAAAUAAAAACAACUUUAGUUUUAAUUCUUUCUCUCCUUUACAUUUGUCGAAAUUGGGCACCUUGAACUUCUGAGGUAUGACCAUCCCUAGUACUAGGCACAUAUCAAUUGUGUCAAGGCCUGAAGGGGAAUUCACCUCCAUAGCCUUGACCAUUUCUUCGAGAGUACGGAGCCUCUCUACAGCAGGGUUCGGUAAAGUUCCAACAACAAGCCUCAUCUAAGGAGGCAUGUAGAAAACAUCAAAGGGAUCUUCCUCUUCAUACGGAGACUAAUGUCUAGCAAACACAAUAUAGUGGUUUUGGGCCCCCAAGUUAACCAUUGGUACAACAACAGAAGGA
rnacentral:lncRNA from 1 species